GAGGCCUCUUUCAUUAACUGGCGAUUAAAGCGAUGGCAAUGAACCAAUCAAAAAUCAUUAUUCUCAAAUAUUUUUGCAUUUGCUAAUGUUCAGCACCAUUAAACUUGCGUUAAGAAAAAUAUUCUUGACAAAUUUUGUGGCGUUUAACUAUUGGUGUUGUUGGUGGUCUGCAGGGGUUGGCAUAGUUCUCAAUGGGAGAGAAGGCACGACCGCAGAGGCAGGUGCAAGGGCCGCCAAAACAAAACUUUGACAGAGCACAGUCGCUAGGAAAACAUGGCCAGCAAAAAGGUCUAGCUCUGUCAAGUGCGUUGCAGGGAUAUGGGGUUUUCAAGGAUCAGAUGGAAUUCGUUAAUAAUCCAGAGUCUCUACAAGCCUCUUGCCGAGCUUUUUCUAUUCUGCAUUCUUUAUAAUGGAGAGAGCAAAAACAAAAGAGUGUGCUGUAUAGCAGCAGACAGCUCCAGAUUCAUGUACAUGUUUAGUUUUGCCUCAAGAGGUGUUAAGGAGAACAAAGUCAGGUGACAAAAGUCUUCUUCAGACACAGCUCCAGGUUUUCGAAUGCAAAAACACAAAACAAUGAGGAAGCCCACAAAAAAGUUCAACAGUCAGGAAACCCACGGAUAUUGCAUAUGCUGAUAUAUGUUUUUUUCUUUCCCAAUAAUUCUGAUAUUUGCAUUUAUAAUUAUCUGAAAUUUGACUUAUGAUUAAAUAAAAAUAAAAAUCCAUUCAAUCUUAGUACUACUUCACCACACCAAACAACCACACUUCCUUCUUGCCACUACUCGGCAAGAACUUCGCUGCUUGCAGCUCUUGUUAAUAUUGGAAAAGAGCCUCUAGUAUUGGGAUAAACAUGUUUUAUUAGUGAAACCAUAGUUUCCCAUGUUCAACAUAAUGAUGGAGACUUUCUUAGUUUUACCUAUAUAGGUUUGACCUCCAUAUCUCCCCAUUUAAUUUUGGGUAGAUUCAUGCUUCCACGGAGU